UACAGAGGGUGCUAGCGUUGUUCGGAAUCAUUGGGCGUAAAGGGCGUGUAGGCGGUUUGUUAAGUCAUGUGUGAAAUCCCUCGGCUCAACCGGGGAACGACGCAUGAAACUGGCAAGCUAGAGUACCAAAGAGGGGGGUGGAAUUCCCGGUGUAGCGGUGAAAUUCGUAGAUAUUCGGAGGAACACCAGUGGCGAAGGCGGCUCACUGGUCCGGUACUGACGCUGAGGUGCGAAAGCGUGGGGAGCAAACAGG
rnacentral:rRNA from 1 species